UGUGCCAGCAGCCGCGGUAAUACGGAGGGUGCAAACGUUAAUCGGAAUUACUGGGCGUAAAGCGCACGCAGGCGGUUUGUUAAGUCAGAUGUGAAAUCCCCGGGCUCAACCUGGGAACUGCAUCUGAUACUGGCAAGCUUGAGUCUCGUAGAGGGGGGUAGAAUUCCAGGUGUAGCGGUGAAAUGCGUAGAGAUCUGGAGGAAUACCGGUGGCGAAGGCGGCCCCCUGGACGAAGACUGACGCUCAGGUGCGAAAGCGUGGGGAGCAAACAGGAUUAGA
rnacentral:rRNA from 1 species